rnacentral:rRNA from 1 species
UAGGGAAUCUUCGGCAAUGGACGAAAGUCUGACCGAGCAACGCCGCGUGAGUGAAGAAGGUUUUCGGAUCGUAAAGCUCUGUUGUAAGAGAAGAACGGGUGUGAGAGUGGAAAGUUCACACUGUGACGGUAUCUUACCAGAAAGGGACGGCUAACUACGUGCCAGCAGCCGCGGUAAUACGUAGGUCCCGAGCGUUGUCCGGAUUUAUUGGGCGUAAAGCGAGCGCAGGCGGUUAGAUAAGUCUGAAGUUAAAGGCUGUGGCUUAACCAUAGUACGCUUUGGAAACUGUCAAACUUGAGUGCAGAAGGGGAGAGUGGAAUUCCAUGUGUAGCGGUGAAAUGCGUAGAUAUAUGGAGGAACACCGGUGGCGAAAGCGGCUCUCUGGUCUGUAACUGACGCUGAGGCUCGAAAGCGUGGGGAGCGAACAGGAUUAGAUACCCUGGUAGUCCACGCCGUAAACGAUGAGUGCUAGGUGUUGGAUCCUUUCCGGGAUUCAGUGCCGCAGCUAACGCAUUAAGCACUCCGCCUGGGGAGUACGACCGCAAGGUUG